rnacentral:lncRNA from 1 species
AUCUGCUAACAACAAACUACUCUCUCUUUUAAUUUCUACCUCUUUUCUUUACCCUUUUUCUAUUUUUAUUUUCCCUUUUUCUUUGUUUUCUUUCCUUGUCAUUUCCUUUUCACCAGAUGUUCACUUUCUCCUGUUCUCUUCUCUCCCUAUCACACCGCAUCUUCUUAGUUCUACUUUUUUUUUUUUAAACUUAUUCGGCUCUCUAUAACUUCUUUCUUUUUCACUUCUACCUUCCCUUUUACUUUCCUUCUUUUUUCAUUUUGAGCACUCCAGUAAAACACUUAUCAUUCAAAAGGCAACAUUCCACUGUGC